GAUGACCUGGCACCAAAACCGCUUAAUGUGUGCUGUGUCUGCAUCGAGGGAAGAACGCGGCACUGAAAUGACACAAAUGAAAGAAGAUUACUUCUGCUCUGCUGGGUCUGUGACACUAUUUAUCCGAGGAGUCCUCAAACAUCAGGAUGUAGGAAGACACAAGUAAAAGGAGAAGAAUGCUGCUCAGCUGGGUCGGCGGCCACACUACUUAUUCAAGAAGCUCUUGGAUAUCAUCGGCAUGUAUG